GACGAACGCUGGCGGCGUGCCUAAUACAUGCAAGUCGAGCGAGACUCUUCGGAGUCUAGCGGCGGACGGGUGAGUAACACGUGGGCAACCUGCCUGUAAGACUGGGAUAACACCGGGAAACCGGUGCUAAUACCGGAUAAUCCUUUUCCUCACAUGAGGAAACGCUGAAAGUCGGUUUCGGCUGACAUGUACAGAUGGGCCCGCGGCGCAUUAGCUAGUUGGUGAGGUAACGGCUCACCAAGGCGACGAUGCGUAGCCGACCUGAGAGGGUGAUCGGCCGCACUGGGACUGAGACACGGCCCAGACUCCUACGGGAGGCAGCAGUAGGGAAUCUUCCACAAUGGACGAAAGUCUGAUGGAGCAACGCCGCGUGAGCGAUGAAGGCCUUCGGGUCGUAAAGCUCUGUUGUUAGGGAAGAACAAGUACCGGAGUAACUGCCGGUACCUUGCCGGUACCUAACCAGAAAGCCACGGCUAACUACGUGCCAGCAGCCGCCGUAACAC
rnacentral:rRNA from 1 species